rnacentral:lncRNA from 1 species
GGGACUUCGCAGGGAGCUGCCUGUGGUCCAGGUGGGCCAGGAUGUUACUCUCUCGGUGGGUCGGUGGGGGGUCUCUGGGCAUGGCCUGGAGCCUGCAUGGAAGGAAGCUGCCCUAGCAGAGCAACCUCAGGGUGUGCCAGGGUGCUGAGCAGGAGUGGCCAGGCUGCCCUGGGCUUUGUGCAGUGCUCCUGCCCCAGGGCUGGGCUGCGCUGUCCUCAAGAUCUAGCAGCAUGUGUCUCUCUCUCGGGCUUGCCGGUCCUGGUCCUUGGGGUCAUUUCUGGGCUAGCAUGGGGACACUCAGGGUUGCCAACAGUCUGAGCAGUGGAAGAAGACACUCCAUGAGGCAGCCUGGCAGUGCCACGUGAGCCCUGGACCGUGAGCCUGGACUUCGGCCAGCCCUGGCUUGCCAUGCCCCCACCCUGACUGCCCUGCCUCCAGCCCACCCAGGUGUCCAGGUUUGGGUGGGUACCUCAGCCAGGGACACAUGGAGGGGUAGCCUCAAGUCACCCACCACCACCUCCAGGGGCUGCUUAGCCUCAGGACCCACUUGUAAACCCAGC